rnacentral:tRNA from 1 species
UCUGUGGCUUAGUGGCAUAACGUUUGCUUGGCAUGUAGAAGGUUCCAGGUUCAAUUCUGGGCAUCUCAG